ensembl:snRNA U1 U1 spliceosomal RNA
UAGCUGUUCUUGCAGAAGACCCAGGUUUGAAUCCCAGCACCCAGGUGGUUUUCCCAAGGUGAGGCUUAUCCAUUGAACACCAGAUGUGCUGACCCCUGAGAUUUCUUCAAAUACAGAAACUUGACUGUGUAAUUUGUAGUAGUGGGGUACUGUGUUAGUGCUCUUCCCUG